GGAGUUUGGGAGUUGAAAAGCAAGAUGCUGGCAGGUCUACUGUCUGGUGAGGGACUGCUUCCUGGUUUGCAGAUAGCUGACUUUUUGCUGUGUCCUCAUAUGGCAGAGAGCAAAGACAAGAAAAACGAACUCAAGAAUCCCUUUUAUAAGGACACUAAUCCCAUUCACGAGAUCCACCUUCUUUGAAUUGUUUCUAGCUGCACAGAGGAGAAAAAAGAAAGAAUGAAGUGAAAAGACCCAAACAUCCUUGGCUGCCUCAAAGCAGAGGUGACCCAUCGCUUUACUUCUGCUCCUAAUACAUUGAUGUUAAAUAACUACCUACCUGUACCCAGCUAGACACGUUGUAGGUUUCUGUGAAAUACAGGAAAAACAUGUGGAUAAUUGGUUAGCACUAGCUGUCUCUGCC
rnacentral:lncRNA from 1 species